CCUAGUGACAGUGGUCAUAAGAAACAGAGAGCACUGAUGAUUUUCCUUAUUUACAAAACACCCGGAGUCAAGCAAAGUCAAGCUAUCACAUGUGGGGGUUAAUGUCUCGCACACAGAGAUAACGGCUUCUUAAGCUCGAUUCUGGAAGCUCUACUAUGUGAUUAUUAUAAUCUUCAACAAGCUCCCACAAUUCGGGAAUCUCACAUGGAUAUUGAGUUUACCUCACUCCAACAAACUCUACCUGGACUCUAAGGAGGCUUAAACCGGAAGUACUCACUAACUGAUAAGAAGUUAACAGAAACAGUAGUUUCCAAAGUGCUCCACAACCUGCCUGCCUCCUGAAAGCAAGCAUGCUCCUUUGGUCAGAUUUCCUGCCUUGCUUACCCAGACUGCACUCAGUAGCACUUCAGGGGCUACCCCGCCUGAGGUCGGUGAUUAAAGCCCACCAUGCAUCUGCCUGAGGCCUGUGAUUAAAGCCCACCGUGCAUCUGCCUGAGUCCUAUUAUAAAGCCCACCGUGCAUCUGCCUGAGGUCUGUGAUUAAAGCCCAUCGUGCAGACAGUCACUAGUCACAGGUGGCCGAGCCCUGCAUGUGACUCAUCUGAAGCAAGAUGUGCCGUUAGACACACAUCAGGAUUUGAAAACUCAGGGAAAAACAGACAUAAAGUAGCUUAAUGAUUUUCAUAGUCACUGCAUGAUAAAAUAAUAUUUUAAAUAUAGACUGGGUUCUAUAUACUAUUCAAAUUAAUUUCACCUGUAACUUAGCGUGUGGGCACCAAUCAGAAAGUUAAGACCUCAGUUUAUGCGGCUUGCACUCUACUUCUGAGACACAGCAGGUAUACAAGGGCUAAAACUUCCCAUGUUUCAGUGAGCAGUGCUGUAGACUAAAGCCUCAGCUGGAUAAUGAAGAAUUCACUGGCUCUUUAAAUGACACUAAAGGAUCACUUACCUGUGAUUAGACAUCAGCCUCUCACACAAAGACCCCUUUCUGGCUUUCACAAUUGCACCCUGUUUCCCUAACCCAGUGGUUCUCAACAUUAGCGCACACAAGUGGAACGCAUAUCUCAGCUGUGCUCUUGCUACGUCCACACACUUUGACUCCAUCUGAGCUCUGGAGUUUUAAAAACUAAAUACUCCAGAGUUAGGGGGAAAGAUACUUUGCUAUCUUGUGCUUUUUCAUCUACAGACAUUUUCUACUGCUACUUCCUAGCCUCUCGGUUUGGGACAAAAAUAUAUAGAGAAAGUGGUCUUAGGACAUAAAAAAACCUUUGUCUAUCCUGAGAAACAGAAGGGAAUACAGGUAGUUUUAAAAUACCAAUGGUCGCAGAUGUCAAGACCAGCCUCUUCCUACUGUCAGCCACUGUCCGUGUUGCCCGUAUAGGGACAGGAAACACAGGACAGGUGUCUUCUGCUUCCCUUGUCCACCCAGCAUGUUAUGAUGCUCAGUAAAAUAAAUGUCCAGAAGGAAAGGAGGGGGGGACACCUCAGUCACUGACUGAUCUGGAACUGACUGAGGUUGUAGGCUUUAUGGCUAUAGAGACAUUUCAGAUUAAACAUGUUAAUUCAUUUAUAUUUCAUCUCUAGGGAGGGGAGGUCCAUCAAUUUCUUACCUACAACUAGUAUAUAAAACAACAAUGAACCCUUUUGCCACGAGAUUAUAGCAUAAGUAAACUAAAGCCAACAUGUCCGUUCCUGGUCACAAUGGAACUGUCAAAUUCAGAGAACGCCAAGUCAAAGGCAACAGGGUUGUGGCUCUCUGUGUGGUAUUCUGACACUUCUAUUUUAAAUUUAAUUUUCCAACAUCUGCCCUCAGUCACAAUUCUCCUGCUGGUUUAUGGCCAUAAAAGUCAGGAGCUGUUUCUUAUUCUUGCUUAUAUUUCGACAGCACCAGGUAAGCUGGGUAUAAAUUGGAUUUACAGGCCGGGGGUGGGGGUAGUUCUAAAACACUUCCCGAAAAGGACUGUAGGUGAUGUGGGAAGUCAAUGGACCACUGGUUAUUUUCACACGCGGCACACCAGGAGUGAGGGCCAAUAGAAGACACUGUGCGAUAUGGAAGGCUGUGAAGUCUCAUUUGAAAACAGGUGUCUUAUUAUCCAGCACAAAACCAGAAAACUGAAUCUGUGCUGACUAAGGCAUGGAAGAAUAGUUUAGAAGUUAAAAAAAAAGGUAUAUUCCCUUAUUUCAGUUACACCAAAGGGUCUCUGUCUCGUGAUCCUUUGAAUUCCCCAGAUCAAGACUUCGCCCUCCCUCUCUCUCUCUCUCUCUCUCUCUCUCUCUCUCUCUCUCUCUCUGUGUCUCUCUCCUUUCCUUUCCUUUCUUUCUUUUUCUUACCAAAUACAUGUUUAUUUCUGAGAACAACUGGAACCAUUUUCUCCCUUCUCUUUUUGCUUUUGUUUUGUUUUGUUUUGUUUUGUUUUUCCCAGGCAGAAUCUUGCUCUGCAGUGAGCCAGGCUCACUAUGUGGGCCAGGCUACCCUGAACUUGUGGUAAUUCUCCUGUCUCAGCCUCCCAAGUGCUAGGAUUACAGGCACGUGCCACUAUACCCAGCGUUACUUACUUAUGAUUUUACGUGCAUACACACCUGUCUGUGCACAGGUCUGUGUGUCUGUAUAUAUGUGCUUAUGUGCACAAGGACAUAUAUAAGCCAGAUGACAGCCUCAGGUGACUGUCCUUGGGCUCUGUCUACCUGGGUUUUAGAAACAGGGUCUCUCUUUAGCUUUACCAAGUAGAUGAGACUGACUAGGCUGGCCAGCAAGCUUCAGGAAACCUGUCUCUGCCCCUGGAGGGCUGGGAUUACAGGCAUGAACCACCAUGCCCACCCUUUCUUACAUGGGUUCUGAGACCCAACCCCAGGUCCUCAAGCUUGCAAGGCAAAUACCUUACUUACUAAAUGAGCUAUCUCCCUGGCCUUUCUUCUUUAUUAGAAAACAAAAGGUUAUGAUUGAGAAAAGGAAGAUUAUUCAUUUGUCUAGGUUUUUAUAUCAAUGAUUUCACACCAAAAGAAAUCUCUACAAAUACUACUGAUUCAAAAGAAAAGUCAGGGUAACAAAUUUGAUCUGAUAGAUAUGAAGUAAUUUUUGAAAAUUUAAAGUUAAGGCCAAUCACAGUCAAACAUGAUUUAACAGGUACCUAUAUGAAUAUAUGUAUUUUUAACAUGUGAUGAUUUCUUUUAGCACAAAUCAAAAGAUUCUCUCCUAUAGUAGUUACAAGCACAGACCCUGGAACCAAAUGACCCGAAACGCCGAGUCUGGCUCCACGAUUAUCAUCAGCUGUGAGACCUUAAGCAAACGCACCACCAUCUUUGUGCUUAGUGUCUUUGCUCUGCAGAAGUCUACAGAAAAGGCCAGGGGCAAAGGCAGGGAAAAGCAUAAAUUAUUUAGAAAACCGAGUAACUAGGAAUAUGAGAACUGGAGGACAACUGGCUGCUUGUGGAAACUGGAGAAGAAGUGUUUUAAAGUACUAACACAGAGAACCUCAAAUCCCACUGGAGAGAACCACAGAGUUUAUAGGGUUAGGAGGCUUCUGAUCUUGAUUUCAGAUAAGUUUACUUUUGACAAAAUGCUUUACACAAAACACCUCCUCAUCACUCUAUGCUCACGAAUACCUGAGCGGUACUGAGACCAAACUCAGGCCGAACCCCUGGGACAAGGCUCAGGCCGAUGGCAGGCCUGUCGCCGGUCACCCGACGUGUCCACCAUUCACACUUGGGAAGCUGCUUCAUGAAAUAGUGAAAACCAUUACCCUAGUGUCUUCUAACUCCCUCUGGAGUUUGUCAGCUUUGGUCUUUUCAAAGAGCAGGCUCUGUUCAAGCUCCUUAAUGCGGGCAUGCUCCAGUUUGGUCUGCGUCUGUUAGUAAAGGGAAGAGGAAAAGAACACAACAGUGCCACCGUGACAUGCCAGCACGAGAGGAGAGAGAGCGGCAUGCAGGCCGAGCCACCAGUCCUUUCUGCCAUAGGACGAACAGAAAAGGUGGCUGCUGGGCAUUAACGUGUAUGUCACUGACUGGGACUUCACAAGGCUGCUUGACCCCCGCAGAGAUCAUCGCUUACACCUAUAUAGUGGAGAAGACAAUGCCACAAGUCUCCAAGCAUUCAGUAGGUCCUCAGAGCAGACUGCUGGACCUGGCAACAGUAUGUAAUAAAAAAAAAAAAAAAAAAAAAAAAAAAAAA